rnacentral:piRNA from 1 species
UGGAGAAUACUAAGGAAUCUCAGGGA